GGGCGGUUAGCUCAGCGGUAGAGCACUGCGUUCACAUCGCAGGGGCCACAGGUUCGAGCCCUGUAUCGCCCACCA
rnacentral:tRNA from 1 species